rnacentral:rRNA from 1 species
CAGCAGCCACGGUAAUACGGAGGGUGCAAGCGUUAAUCGGAAUUACUGGGCGUAAAGCGUGCGUAGGCGGUUCGUUAAGUCUGUUGUGAAAGCCCCGGGCUCAACCUGGGAAUGGCAAUGGAUACUGGCGAGCUAGAGUGUGUCAGAGGAUGGUGGAAUUCCCGGUGUGGCGGUGAAAUGCGUAGAGAUCGGGAGGAACAUCAGCGGCGAAGGCGGCCAUCUGGGACAACACUGACGCUGAGGCACGAAAGCGUGGGGAGCAAACAGGAUUAGAUACCCGCGUAGUCCCUGUCUCUUAUAC